AGAGUUUGAUCCUGGCUCAGGACGAACGCUGGCGGCGUGCUUAACACAUGCAAGUCGAACGGUGAAGCCUUUCGGGGUGGAUCAGUGGCGAACGGGUGAGUAACACGUGGGCAAUCUGCCCUGCACUCUGGGACAAGCCCUGGAAACGGGGUCUAAUACCGGAUGAUACUUCUUUCCGCAUGGGAGGGGGUUGAAAGCUCCGGCGGUGCAGGAUGAGCCCGCGGCCUAUCAGCUUGUUGGUGGGGUAAUGGCCUACCAAGGCGACGACGGGUAGCCGGCCUGAGAGGGCGACCGGCCACACUGGGACUGAGACACGGCCCAGACUCCUACGGGAGGCAGCAGUGGGGAAUAUUGCACAAUGGGCGAAAGCCUGAUGCAGCGACGCCGCGUGAGGGAUGACGGCCUUCGGGUUGUAAACCUCUUUCAGCAGGGAAGAAGCGCAAGUGACGGUACCUGCAGAAGAAGCACCGGCUAACUACGUGCCAGCAGCCGCGGUAAUACGUAGGGUGCGAGCGUUGUCCGGAAUUAUUGGGCGUAAAGAGCUCGUAGGCGGUUUGUCGCGUCGGAUGUGAAAGCCCGGGGCUUAACUCCGGGUCUGCAUUCGAUACGGGCAGACUAGAGUGUGGUAGGGGAGAUCGGAAUUCCUGGUGUAGCGGUGAAAUGCGCAGAUAUCAGGAGGAACACCGGUGGCGAAGGCGGAUCUCUGGGCCAUUACUGACGCUGAGGAGCGAAAGCGUGGGGAGCGAACAGGAUUAGAUACCCCCGUAGUCC
rnacentral:rRNA from 1 species